rnacentral:rRNA from 1 species
UACAGAGGGUGCGAGCGUUUAAUCGGAAUUACUGGGCGUAAAGCGCACGUAGGUGGCGACGUAAGUCGGGUGUGAAAGCCCCCGGGCUCAACCUGGGAAUUGCAUUCGAGACUGCAUUGCUGGAGUACGGAAGAGGAGGGCGGAAUUCCCGGUGUAGCGGUGAAAUGCGUAGAUAUCGGGAGGAACAUCAGUGGCGAAGGCGGCCCUCUGGUCCAGUACUGACACUCAAGUGCGAAAAGCGUGGGGAGCAAACAGG